GGGCGGUGCCGCGGGGUCCCCAUGGCGGCGGCGGCGGAGCGGACGGACGAGCUGGUGCGGGAGUAUCUGCUGUUCCGCGGCUUCACUGCCGCCCUCAAGCAGCUGGAUGCGGAGAUCAAAGCGGACCGGGAGAAGGGCUUCCGGGUGGAUAAGAUUGUGGACCAGCUGCAGCAGUUUGUUCAGAGCUAUGAUCUGGCAGCCUUGCGGGAUUACUGGAGUUAUCUGGACCGACGCCUUUUCAGCCGUUUGGAAGACGUGUACAGGCCAACAGUGAACAAGCUGAAAACCAGCUUAUUCCGAUACUACCUUGUCCAUACCGUUCAGACCGGCCGCAAUGACAAGGCCCAGGAGUUUUUCCUCAAGCAGGCCUCCGAGCUCCAGAACCAGGCAGAGUGGAAGGAUUGGUUUGUCCUGCCCUUCCUCCCUGCUCCAGACUCCAACCCCACCUUCGCCACCUAUUUCUCCCGCCAGUGGGCAGAUACGUUUAUCGUUUCUCUGCACAACUUCCUGAGCGUCUUAUUUCAGUGCAUGCCAGUUCCAGUCAUUUUGAACUUUGAAGCUGAAUGUCUUAGGAGCAGUCUUGUACAAGAAGAAAAUGAAUCCUUGCGGCAUAAGCUGUUUGCUUUGCAGGCUGAAUCCUCCCGCAUGAAGAAAGAAGAAGUGGAGGUGGAACAAGCAGUCAUGCAUCACAAGUUGCCUGCAUAUGUGGCCAACAUGGAUCGACUAGGGGACUCUGAGCUCGAUAUGACCUGCAGUCAGAGGAGUACUGCGCAUUCUCUCCAGUCCCGGGGAGGCUUUCUGUCCUCUUUUCUUUCCCAAAGUAAAAAGAGCCCUUCCAGACCAGCACAUCCAAGUGGGGCUUCUCCAACACAGACUGGCAGUAUGCUGCUAGGAAAGAAAGAAUCAACAAAUCAUCAGAGUGCCAAAGGAAAAGAAGGAACAGUGAGCUCUAAGGACGGGAAGAGCCAUUUCAGUGGCUUAGUAGCAGGUGAGUCAAGUUCCCUGCAGCAGCGGCAGAAGCGCUUGCAAGAGCAUGGGAAGGAAAGGAAGGAACUUCUGUCAAAAGGAACCUUCCAGGGCCAAAGUGCUGAGAAGAAAACAGAUAUUAGCACAGCUGAGACAGAGCCGUGCUCAGAGCUGCAUGCAGAGCAAACAGAGACUUCAGCCAAAAUGCCUGCCAGCAAUGCAGAGGCUGUGGGUGUCCGGCAGGAGCAGCCUUUCAUCGUUCUGAGCCAGGAGGAGUAUGGGGAGCACCAUUCAUCCAUCAUGUACUGCAGGGUUGAUUGUUCUGGACGGAGGGUGGCCAGCUUGGAUGUGGAUGGGGUCAUCAAAGUGUGGUCUUUUAACCCCAUAAUGCAAACUAAAGCUUCAUCCAUUUCCAAAUCUCCAUUGCUGUCUCUGGAAUGGGCAACCAAGCGUGAUCGUCUGCUACUGCUUGGCAGUGGGGUUGGGACGGUUCGUCUUUAUGACACAGAAGCAAAGAAGAAUCUCUGUGAAAUCAGCAUUGAUGAAGACAUGCCCAGGAUCCUCUCGCUUGCCUGCAGCCCAAGUGGUGCCUCGUUUGUCUGUUCUGCAGCAGCCCAGAGCCCCAUCUCCCACAUGGACUUCUCAGCAGUCAGUUCUGGGGGCAGAAGCAUGAACCAAGUUCCUGGGAAGCUGCUGCUGUGGGACACUAAAACAAUGAAGCAGCAGCUGCAGUUCUCUCUGGAGCCUGAGCCCAUUGCUAUUAACUGCACAGCCUUCAACCACAAUGGCAACCUGCUGGUCACCGGUGCUGCAGAUGGGAUUGUUCGUCUUUUUGGUAUGGUGGAAAAGGACCUGGGGGUGUUGGUGGACAGGCGGCUGAACAUGAGCCAGCUUGUGCCCAGGCAGCCAAGAAGGCCAAUGGCAUCCUGGCCUGUAUGAGCACCAGUGUGGCCAGCAGGGCCAGGGCAGUGAUCAUCCAUCCCCCUGUGCUCAGCACUGGUGAGGCUGCACCUUGAACACUGUGUUCAGCUCUGGGCCCCUCACUGCAACAGAGACAUUGAGGUGCUGGAGCGGGGCCAGAGAAGGGCAACGAAGCUGGUGAAGGGCCUGGAGCACGAGUCUGAUGAGGAACGACUGAGGGACCUGGGGUUGUUUAGUCUGGGGAAGAGAAGGCUCAGGGGGGACCUUAUCGCUCUCUACAACUACCUGAAAGGAGGUUGUAGUGAGGUGGGUGUUGUUCUUUGCUCCCAAGUAACAAGUGAUAGGACAAGAGGAAGUGUCCUCAAGCUGAGCCGGGGAGGCUUAGAUUGGAUAUUAGGAAAAAUUUCUUCACCGAAAGGAUCAUCAAGCAUUGGAACAGGCUGCCCAUGGAAGUGGUGGAGUUGCCAUCCCUGGAGAUAUGCAGCAGCAUGAGUGCGCCAUGAGCUGGAAGGCACACGAUGGGGAAGUCUACUCCGUUGAGUUCAGCUGUGAUGAGAACACAGUCUACAGCAUAGGCGAGGAUGGCAAGUUUAUUCAGUGGAAUAUUCACAGAAGUGGCUUGAAGGUGUCUGAGUACCAUCUUCCCAGCGAAGCUACAGGUCCUUUCAUUCUGUCUGGGUACAGUGGCUACAAGCAAGUCCAGUUCCCACGAGGAAGGCUUUUUGCUUUUGACUCUGAGGGCAACUAUAUGUUGACGUGUUCUUCCACUGGGGGAGUAAUUUUUAAGUUGAAUGGUGAGGAAAAGGUUCUGGAGAGCUGCCUUUCCCUGGGAGGACACAGAGCUCCCGUUGUCACAGUGGAUUGGAGCACGGCCAUGGACUGCGGGACCUGCCUCACUGCCUCUAUGGAUGGGAAGAUUAAAUUAACAACCUUACUGGCUCAAAAGUCUUAACCUGGAUAGUACUGAAGGGAAAGAGCAACAGACUUGACAGAAACAGUGUUAACUCCACAGGAACAAACUGCAUGGGAGAGAGAAGGCAAACCGCAGUCCCUCUUCUCUUUGUAGCUUUUGUCUCUUGACAAACGUUAAAUACAUUUGCCAAACCACUGUGCAAUAGAGUGCCGGUAUGGGACCAAAUCAGUGGCAGCACUGAAAAAUAAAGUCUCCACUGACCCAUUAUGGCAGCUGCGCUCCCUCCGCUGGGGAGUCUUGAGUAAGCACAUGGGUAGAAGGCUUGGUGUCUGCGAAGGUUGUUGCCACCUUUGUGCUUGGCGAUGCUGGAUACAGUCUGCAGUUGUUCAUCUGUUGCAGACACAAUUACAGCUAAGAUGAGGUCGGACUCAGGCAAAAGGUUCAUGAAAGCAGGCAGGAGCUCUGUCCAAAUAAAACCAGGCCUGCAGUGUGAAA